UUGAGCCUUGUCAGUCAAGGAAUCAAAAUGUCUUCUAAACGUUCCAUUCGGAGAGGAGUUAUGAAAUCUGCAUAGCAGCACGCACAACCUUUGCUAGUGGGCAAAAUGCUGAAAUCUCGCCAGUGAACUACAAAUGACAUGACGACUUCCUAAUCAAAGGCCACAUGACAACAGCAUUUUUUUUAAAAUCACUGCUCUCCUGCUCAAACUGUCCCAACCAGCUGAUUUAGUUUAUUGAGACUACCUGGACCAUUUUAGAGGGAAAAAGUCUGUGAACCCAAAAAAGAAGCCUAGCAGAGUCAAUAAUCUCUUCAAACUUGACUCUGGAAGCUGCCAAAUCUUUUCUGCUGGAUACAACGAACAUUGAGGUGCACGUUAAUAAAUUUGGUUUUUCUAUGGAUACACAGCUGUGCUCCCUUGAACUUCUCCCUACCAUAACUGGUUAAGAAUGAUACUCUUUGGGUAGAAAUUCUGUGUUCUUCCCUCUCUUUUUCCUAAUCUAUUAGUAUUUACCUGCAUGCAGUUGGUGAAAGCAAAUAUUAAGCCCUACCUGUUCCAAGCAGGAGACUUUACCACACCUGCAGCUCUCUUGUGUAAUAUGAAUUUUCAUUUCUACCUAGAAGAAGUUUUACAAUCUUUAUAAUCUCCUGUGCCUGAAAGCUUAAAAUUAAAGAAUUUUUUUUUUGCAAAUA